rnacentral:rRNA from 1 species
ACGAACGCUGGCGGCGUGCCUAAUACAUGCAAGUAGAACGCUGAAGGAGGAGCUUGCUUCUCUGGAUGAGUUGCGAACGGGUGAGUAACGCGUAGGUAACCUGCCUGGUAGCGGGGGAUAACUAUUGGAAACGAUAGCUAAUACCGCAUAAUAGUAGAUGUUGCAUGACAUUUGCUUAAAAGGUGCAAUUGCAUCACUACCAGAUGGACCUGCGUUGUAUUAGCUAGUUGGUGAGGUAACGGCUCACCAAGGCAACGAUACAUAGCCGACCUGAGAGGGUGAUCGGCCACACUGGGACUGAGACACGGCCCAGACUCCUACGGGAGGCAGCAGUAGGGAAUCUUCGGCAAUGGACGGAAGUCUGACCGAGCAACGCCGCGUGAGUGAAGAAGGUUGUCGGAUCGUAAAGCUCGGUUGUAAGAGAAGAACGAGUGUGAGAGUGGAAAGUUCACACUGUGACGGUAUCUUACCAGAAAGGGACGGCUAACUACGUG